AACGUAGGUGGCGAGCGUUAUCCGGAUUUACUGGGCGUAAAGCGUGUGCAGGCGGCUUAUCAAGUGGUGUAUGAAAUAUCCAGGCUCAACCUGGAGGGGUUAUGCCAGACUGGUAGGCUAGAGUGCGAGAGAGGGGCGUGGAAUUCCGGGUGUAGUGGUGAAAUGCGUAGAGAUCUGGAGGAACACCGGUGGCGAAGGCGGCUUCCUGGACCGACACUGACGCUGAGGCGCGAAAGCUAGGGGAGCAAACGGG
rnacentral:rRNA from 1 species